rnacentral:lncRNA from 1 species
AAUUAUCCAGUGCUUCCUCCACCCUUAAGGAUCCCCUUUUCGUCCUAUCCGCCGUCAAACAUAGGACUCAGUGCAGGGAGCGGCCCCCGCACCCCGAGGGCACUACUGGGGGCGGAGAGUUAAAAACACGGAGAGGAGGACGCUCCGGAGAAGAGGGGAGCAUGGCGGGCAUGAGGUACUGAGUGAAAAGGGGGAUGGCGAGGGAAACGGGGAGCGAGGGAGGGGAGAAAGAGUAAAAAGCGAAGACACGAAGGGACACCAGCCGGGUCGCGCGAGGCCUAAGUGAAAGACCAGGGCGCGCGCGCGGGGGGGAGGGGAAGAGGUGAAGGGGAGCGCGAGGCGGGGGCGCGCGGGCCGGGCUGGGGGAGGGGACGCCAGGCGGGGGCGCGCGGGCGGGCGUCGGCUCGCGGGCGCUUCCCCUCCCCCCGCCCUCCACCUUUCCCCUCCCCCACCGCCGCCUUCUCGCAGCCUCGCUCCCUCCGUCGCUCCUCACCGCCCCCGGGCGGGCUGGCGGGCUGGCGGGCUGGCGGCCAGGCUGGCCUAGGCCAGAGCUCCUCACCUGGCAGCGGCGGCGGAACUCCCGACCAGGUCGCUUCCUCAGGCGGCUGUGAAGGCGUCGAAAAAGGAGGCGGCGACGGCACAGUGGGAUCCAGACCCCACUGGCGGGUCCGGGAGCGGGGGUGGGGGAGGGGGCGGGCCGGGUCGGGGAGGGCGGGCGGGCGGAGCAGACACUGCGGUACAGACAGGGGCAGCAGCGGCGGCGGCGGCUGCACCGGCGGCGGCGGCACCACACAAACAAGGACGCUGAUUGGGCAGCUGCCAAGCGCCUUGACUCCGCCUUAACCACACGCCACGACGGCCAUUGGAGGAACUUAGCCGGCUACCCGCCCUCCUCUUCUUGCUCCUACCAAUUGAAAGCGGGAUACCAAGACUUCACCCCACCCUUGAGGAAUGGGUGGCUGGAGAAGUAGUGAUUGGCGUUAAGAAAAUCCAAUCAUAAAUGGAGAAGGGGGAUGGUCUAGCGGGGGCGCGUUAAUGGGUACCUCGGCCAGUCCCAGACACAUCCGGGUCUUCGACAGCCCAUUAAGUGUCGGGGGUCAAAAAAUCGCUUCAGGCUGCAGCUUUACCUUGUAGACGUUUUGGUCCCCUGGCAGCCGCCGUACCACCUAGUCUCUUAAAACCGGGAUUCUCCUUUGACAGGCUCUCAUUCUUUCUCGUCUAAAGAUGGAGACCGGGAACGGCGCUGGGCUCUGUGUUUGGGUGGGUGGUGUUUCAUCGCGACAGAAUCCAUGAAUUUAAGGACAGGACUAGCUUUAGGAGCUCUGGCCUUGUCUUUCUGGGGUGUGGCCUGCCCCGUUCUGCCCAAGGCCUUGGGACUCGUGUGUUAAUUUACUUCUGACCGGUCCUUUCCUGGUUGUACCGUAACAGCACAAAGAAAAAACAAACAAUUAGCUAAAUGUACUGAAUUUAUGGUGUAUACUCUGGGAUCUGGUCUUUUUCUGUUCACAGUGAGGAUACAGCUUCCCACCCCACCCUAUUGCACUAGCUAAGUCAAGGCCCGGGUUCUUUUGCUAGCCUGGCUAUCUCCUACUUCCUCCAAGAGGUUAGACCCGCCUACAUUCUACGUUUCUAGAACACCAUGAAUAUUCUUUCUGAGCGCCCUAGAAAUGAGAACUAAUUAUCACAAAAAUAAACACAUUGAAAGAAUAAUAACUUUUUGGGGGAACAAGAACAAUGAAUUCUUACUCUCUGUGAGGCAAGUACUGGCCAUCCUAUCUUACAGAUGAGGACAAUAAGGUAUCGAUUAAAAGACAAAGUUACACAUGUGACAGACUUGAGAUUUUAACCCAUGUGUACUAAGGAACAGGGUCAGAUUAAGCAACUUGCCAAAGGUAGACAGCAACUGAGCAAUGAUUAAAAGUCAGAUCUAACUAGUGCCAGAGACAGUAGAGAAGACAUUUUUUCAAAUCACUAUGGAAAUAAAAUUGUAAGCCUGACAUGAUGGUGCACAAAUGUAACUUCACCACUGGGAUGCUGAGGUCACAGGUUAGCCAAGGCUAGAUAUGAAGAUGUUUCAGAUUCCUUUAAAGGGGGGCUGAAGAGAUGGUUCAAUAGUUAAGCACUUGUUGCUCCUCAGAGGACCCAGGUACCUAUCUGUAAUUCCAGUUCAAGGGCUCCAUAGCACCCCUCUGACUUCCCUGAGCACCAGGGGCUCCUACAGUGCAUACACAUUCAUGCAAGGAAAACACAGUUUGUAAAUACCUAAAAAUUAAUUUGUUAAGAGUUGACCUAGAGAUGGCACACGCCUUUAAUCCCAGCACUCGGGAGGCAGAGGCAGGCAGAUUUCUGAGUUUGAGGCAAGCCUGGUCUACAAAGUGAGUUCAGGACAGCCAGGACUAUACAGAGAAACCCUGUCUCAAAAAACACACAAACAAAAAAACAAAAAACAAGAGUUGUCCUAGAAUACUAGUUAGCAUGUUCAAAACCCAAUACUGCAAA